UCGAAAGCUUCGAGAAGGAGAAGUACACUUUGUAAGCACUUCAGAGAGGAUCAUCAUCGGCUGCAAAUGAUCCGUGCCGCUACACUGUGGAAAUGCACCUUUGAGUGCCGUACCGAAUGAAAGUAGGUCGGACGCAUUGCCGGCGUUAUCGGCGUCAAGCGGAAAGGCUAUGCCUUUCAAGCGGAGUGGAACCACGUAUACAAUGCGUCUCUGUC
rnacentral:ncRNA from 1 species